ACAUCAGUGAGGUACAUCCUUACCUGUUACCUUAGCAAUAAGGUUACAGAUCAUGAUGAUUGGAUUCUAUGAAUACGUGAUUAUAUACCGUAUUUGUUUAGGGACUGCAACCCCUUUACGAAUCCUGUCUGAC
rnacentral:snoRNA from 8 species